UGAGCCUCCCAAACACAGAGCUAACUCUGGCAAUGCAUGGGUCAACCUCAUUGUCAAUGUGUGCAUCCCUGGAAAGUACAUUACAAAGGUCUACUGGAUUUUGUGCCUUCCAGAAGUGUGUGCACAUACCUUGUACUGCUGCACAUCCCUUCCUGUUUUGAGCUGAUAUCGACAGGAGCCCUGCUUAGACUCAUGCACUCACCCACCUUGGUGGAGGUCCCUCAUUCUCCUUUGGAAUGGCUCUGAUUGUGAGGAAGCUCUGAUGUCCAGCUUAAAGCUGCUUCUCUGUCAUAUCCACCCACUAGUCCUGGUUCUACUCCUGGGGCCAAGCAGAACCAGGCUAUCUUCCUUUUCUACUAGCCAGCCCUCCUAACACUUGAAAACACAGAACUGUGGAACUGAAUAAAAUUUCUCCCAGCCUUUUCAUUCCCUUUCUCCCCAUCACCAUCUACUGGCCACUGAGAAGAGCCUAAACCUUGAACCCCUGCUUCUAUUUUCCACUAAGUCGCUGGCCUCCAUCUCUGUUUCUGCCAGGACCAAAGAAUGCAUUCAGUCUGCCCCAGGAAAAACCCUGGUGGAACCCUUGACAUGUCCUGUGCAGACAAGCAUUUGACAGCUGGUUACCCUGGCAACUAGUUCGUCUUUGAAAUCAUUUCUGGGCCUGUCAGACCCCCUCCUGCCUUUCUUGAACAGAGAGCUGUCCAGCAUUGUCAAGGAGAUUCGACAGGCAGAUUAGAAGUAGCUGGAGGAGAGAGGGAGGCUGAUUUCCUGGAGAGGCAGGCCACUUUGCAGGCGAGGCUCACCAAAGGGUUAAGAAGAUGCUAACUUUCUGAAGUCUGAAAAUAAGAUGACAGCGGCAUCAACAAGAACUAUUUAUGGCAUCGCACAACUUGCUAAUUUGGGGAAAGAACAACUUUGCACAUCCAGGCUAGAUCUGCCUGCAUUUCUUCCUUCGGACUCAGCCUUCAGGUAGUAGGCAAGGCUUCUAGAAGCUGGAGCUGUGGGCCGGCCCAGCAGGGGCUUCGAGUCAGUAGCCUGAGAUGAAAGGACCAUGGGGAUCAGUGAGGUCAACCCCAUCAUUUUACAGAAGAAGAAAAAAGACCAUAGACUAUGCCUGGCCUGCCUGCUGUCUCAUAGUGAGUAAGAAAAGACCCAGGGAUUUAAACCUGGGUCCUCUGACUCCAAUUCCAAAGUUCUUUCUAUUGUUUUAUGCUUCAAUAAUGAUGUAGGAACUGGAAAAUGUGGAUUUCCUGGAAAGGUUACACUCCCUAACUCCAUGAAGAGGAUGAGAAGUCACUAGUGACCAAGAGAUCAGGCCUGGAACAUCCUCUCUCCUCAAUUUUGCCUCUUAGUAUUAUUGCUGGCUUCCUUGAAGACUCACCUUCUGCAGGAGACUUUUCCAGGAUUCAAGGAUAUUAGUGUCUUUCUCUAAAAUUACCUUCCCUCUUCCCUGAAUACAUCUUGUAUGGGUUGAUUUCUAUAUGUUGUGUAUCCUGAUUAGAAUAGAAGAUCCCUGAGGGCAGGGACUACCCUUUUCAUUUUUUUUUCUUGUUAUCUCCAAUGCUUAGCAUAGUGUCUGGCACAUUGUAAUAAAAAGCUUAACAAACACCUGUUGAUUGAUUCAUUGGCAUUUGGUCGGGGCUUGCAAGAAUGGGUACAAUCUCAAGAUGUAGAAAGCGGUCUAGAGAACACCAUGAGAAAGGCACACAGGUAAGGAAGUUUAUACCACGGGCCUGUGAUGUUGACAGAGCCAAUUUUCUAGAGUCAAAGAGUAGUUUGGGGGUAAU